rnacentral:rRNA from 1 species
CGCGUCUUAGCAUGCAGUCGAGCGGCAUUGGGGGGCUUGCCCCCUGAGAGAGCGGCGGACUGGUGAGUAACGCGUGGGUGACCUACCUUGAGGCUGGGGAUAGCCGCUAGAAAUAGCGGGUAAUACCGAAUACGCUCGCCGAGCUGUGGCAUGGCGAGGAAAGGGGCUUCGGCCCCGCCGUGAGAUGGGCCCGCGUCCUAUUAGGUAGUUGGUGGGGUAAGAGCCUACCAAGCCCGAGAUAGGUAGCCGGCCUGAGAGGGUGAACGGCCACACUGGGACUGAGAUACGGCCCAGACUCCUACGGGAGGCAGCAGCUAAGAAUAUUCCGCAAUGGGCGAAAGCCUGACGGAGCGACGCCGCGUGGAUGAGGAAGGCCGAAAGGUUGUAAAAUCCUUUUGCGGACGAAGAAUAAGCGCGGUAGGGAAUGACCGCGUGAUGACGUUAGUCCGCGAAUAAGCCCCGGCUAAUUACGUGCCAGCAGCCGCGGUAACACGUAAGGGGCGAGCGUUGUUCGGAAUUAUUGGGCGUAAAGGGCGCGUAGGCGGUUAUGUAAGUCCGGCGUGAAAGGCGUGGGCCCAACCCACGGACUGCGCUGGAAACUGUGUAACUGGGGUCAUGGAGGGGUAGUUGGAAUUCCUGGUGUAGGGGUGAAAUCUGUAGAUAUCAGGAAGAACACCGGUGGCGAAGGCGAACUGCCAGCCAAUGACUGACGCUGAGGCGCGAAAGUGCGGGGAGCAAACAGGAUUAGAUACCCUGGUAGUCCGCACUAUAAACGAUGCACACUAGUGUUGGACCGAGCGGUUCAGUGCCGGAGCGAACGUGAUAAGUGUGCCGCCUGGGGAGUAUGCCCGCAAGGGUGAAACUCAAAGGAAUUGACGGGGGCCCGCACAAGCGGUGGAGCAUGUGGUUUAAUUCGAUGAUACGCGAGGAACCUUACCUGGGUUUGACAUGCGGGGGAGUGUCGUAGAGAUACGGCAGCCGGGCAACCGGCCCCGUGCAGUGCU